rnacentral:lncRNA from 1 species
AAAAAUCAUAUCGAAAGUCUUAGACGAAACUCUUGUGCCUUUCCACAGGUGUCUUCUAGGCUUUAUUUUGGGGCCAUUACCUCGAGCACUGUUUCUUGUCUGGUUUCCUAAUGUCAGCAACUGAAGAAAAGACCUGUACACACAGGACACAGCAUGGUCUGACGCUCACAGUGUUUUCCUUUCUCUCUGCAGAGGGAUUCAGCACUUUGGGCAAGUGGUUGCACAGAGGAUCCCGUGGAAGAAUUCAUAUAUGAAUCAGAUGAGGAUGCCCCAGGACCGUCGUAGAUACCAACAAGCCCUCUCCCGGCACCUGCAGAAAAAGUGGGGAAAAUCCCCGAAGAGGCAGAAACGUGAGUGUGCAGGGGCGGCAUGACCAGGGGAAGGCAGACAAUGCCUGUGUGCCCAUGGCUGCCCUCACUCUCUUGUUGUCCCAUCAGAAAACCUAGUGAGCUGAAGGAUGAGGCUGCUGAAGAGCCUGAGCUCACUUGUUGUGGCCUGACCUGUUGUGGCCUUUGUACUUAUGCUGGAAAUCCCUAAAGAUUCGUCCGGAAGGGCCGCCAGCCAGUGGAUUUCCCUGGCCCCUCAGCCCUCUGGAGCGUACGAGUUUUGGAGAACCCUCUUCCUCUGUAUAUGCUUUUGACUUUCCUGGACUGAUGUAAAAAUACUCUUUUCUUUGACCUGUUUAUUUUUAAGACACCAUGUGAUUGUGUCAGCUUAUAUUUUAUUGCUGAAGUAAAUUUUCAAAUGUUUUAUUAGUUUUUUUUGGAUCUUUGUCCACUCAUUUUGGAGUUUUUGUAAUUUUGAUAGGUGUUCUUUUAUGCUUUGUAUUGUUUUCUUAAUGACUUUUACCUUAGUUUUUAACAAACCCAUAGUACAGUGUUAUACCCAAGCGAGUUAGAGAAAACGCCACACUUUGAGACGAAUUAAGAGUCCAUUAUUGGCCGGGCGCGGUGGCUCAAGCCUGUAAUCUCAGCACUUUGGGAGGCCGAGGCGGGUGGAUCACAAGGUCAGGAGGUCGAGACCAUCCUGGCUAACACGGUGAAACCCCGUCUCUACUAAAAAUAUAAAAAAUUAGCUGGGCGUGGUGGCAGGCGCCUGUAGUCCCAGCUGCUAGGGAGGCUGAGGCAGGAAAAUGGCAUGAACCUGGGAGGCGGAGCUUACAGUGAGCUGAGAUCGCGCCACUGCACUCCAGCCUGGGCGACAGAGCAAGACUCCGUCUCAAAAAAAAAAAAAAAAAAAGAGUCCUUUAUUUAAGCCAGCGGCCAAAGAGACGGCUAACGCUCAAAAUUCUCUCGGCCCCGAGGAAGGGGCUUGAUUAACUUUUAUACCUUGGUUUAGGAAGGGGAGGGGAACUCAAAUGCAAUAAUUCUACAGAAGUAAAAACAUGCAAGAAUCAAAAAAACAAAUGGUUACAGAGAGAGAAACAAUUUAAAAGACAAAUGGUUACAAAAGAAGCAACGGAACCAGGUGCGGGGCUCUAAAUCCUUCAUUAGAGUUCGAUAUGGAUGCUCUGCCAGACACGGACUCAAGGCUUUAUGCUGUUAUCUCUUUGAGCAAAACCCUGGGAACUUCAUACAUUGUUUGUUCCAGUACCUUAUCAGUUAAUUGGGCUCCUUUGAAAUGCUGAGGAUCUGCUUACACAGGUUAACGCCUUGAGGAAGGGGUUUGGGUAAGGAGCCCUUGAUGUUUUGUUAAUCAAGAGGCCAAAUGGAGUUUGUCCGGCUUUCCCAGCUAAGGGAGAGUCUUAUUCAUAUGGGAAACAAGGCUGGGUAAUUAAGGAGACAAAAGGGAAAAUUUAAAAAUAGCGAGUUACAGUAAAAACAAGGUUAGGCAUUACAACAGUAAGUUAUAUUAAGACAAUAUUUUGGCCGGGCGUGGUGGCUCACGCCUGUAAUACUUAGCACUUUGGGAGGCCGAGGCGGGCAGAUCAUGAGGUCAGGAGAUCAAGACCGUCCUGGCUAACACUGUGAAACACCAUCUCUGCUAAAAAUACAAAAAAUUAGCUGGGCAUGGUGGGGGGGGGGGCGUCUGUAGUCCCAGCUGCUCCGGAGGCUGAGGCAGGAGAAUGGUGUGAACCUGGGAGGCGGAGCUUGCAGUGAGCUGAGAUAGUGCCACUGCACUCCAGCCUGGGCAACAGAGCGAGACUCCACCUCAAAAAAAGAAAAAAAAAAAAAAAAAGAGAGACAUAGUAUUUUUAAUGUUUUUUAAUAGCUUAUAUUCUGUACAUCUUUUCACAUGUAGAAAUGUUAAUGGCUGGGCGCAGUGGCUCACGCUUGUAAUCCCAGCACUUUGGGAGGCUGAGGCAGGAGAAUCACUUGAGCCCAGGAGUUGGAGACCAGCCUGGGAAACAUGGUAAGACCACAUCCC